AAACUUCCGCAACCGCAACCGCAACCGCUGCGGUUGAACCAGUCAGGCCCUUAGAAACGGAAGGAGUAUUGAUUAUCUAUCUAUCUAUCUAUUAUAAUAAAGUUGACUUGUCUUUUUCAUCAUGCGUCCACGUCAGCAAACAAGGAGGGGCUAAUCAUGCCAAGUGUCCUCAGCUUUUCAUGAACAAAAAACCGGACUUCGUUCUCUUCCUUUUUAGAACGAACACACAAAACUUCGCUCGCUUAUAAAUGUCUCUAUAAUGUCCUAUUGGGUUUAAUUAUUGUUUUCGAAAAGCCAUAUAGCUUCUGAAACAUUCUUCUUCCACCUUCUGCUGUCUAGCCGGAUGACUCUCCUGCUGCCGACUACAAGAAACAAAACGUCAUCGGUUACAAAUCUCGAGAAGGAACAAUAAUUAGAGAGAUUUUAUUUCAGGAUAACUACCUCAUGAUAAAGAGAAGAGGUUGAAGAGUCAUGUGAACGCCUUAACAGAGAAAUCUUCAUAAUAGAGUCGAGAGGAAACAGUGAUCUCAUGGCGUUGAAGAGGACAGGAGGAGAUAGAGUAAAAUUAGGAUCAGUCAGGUUCAUGAGAGGAUUAUAGAGUUAAAAGGAUAUCGAUUUUAAGCAGAGUUGCGGAUCUCUGUUUAGAUCGGCAGUUGAGUUCCAGACAACUUUGUUGCCGCCAGCGAAGAGACAACGAAUCAUUACGAUGAACGUGCCUUGGUCUUCUUAUAACUUUUGCAUUGAAUCUUUGACUCAAAAACUUUUGAUUCGAGUGAUUUGUUGUGUUGAUCAUCAGUAUCUAAUAAGCAUAAACAUUAUAUCUAAUCAAAAGAAGAGCCUGCGCUAAGUGUAGCUACACGCCUUUCCUCUUCUUGGACUUGGAAACUGAUUGGGUGAUGAGGAGAAGGAAGUCAUUCUUAGAGGUGUUUAGCACCAGGUUCUUGCAAAACUGUAACACCAUUUUAUGGAAUGAUGGUUUCACCUGCAGGCCAUAUGCAAUCGCAGAACCUGGCUUCAAUAUGCCUUGCAAUUAUGCAGAAAAUAUUAUAGGCAAUGAGCCCUCCAGUUGUUUAAGCAAAGAAUCUUCAGUCGCAAACUUUUGCAUCUCUCUUCAACAUUUGAUCCAUACCAUAAAUAAAAGACACCUGCUUUUGGAAUUGCUAAAACAUAUAACCGCUUGUCAGUUUCAUGCCAACUAUCCACAGAGACACAUUUAGCUGACUACUUCUUGGCACCGUGUCAAGUAAUAAAAAGAUCAUCUGCAUUUAUAAACUGUGUUUAUUAGCUUCUUAUAGUCGUAGAAAGCUUCUGUUAUACUUCUUUUGUUUCGUGGAACUACAUUAUAUUUUCUAUAUCUUGCAAGUACGGUGUUUAGAUGAUGCUACAGGCCUUUUAGGUCUUAUUGUUCAAAUUACCACAGAGAAAGGACGAUAUGUAGCAAGAAGUUAUAAUCCUCGGUAAUAACUAUGUAUGCCAUCUUCUUACUUCAUCAAUUUAUUCAAUUUAUCCAUACAGUGAGUUUAUGUGUAUCAAGCCAAAUUUCUCAAGGUCAUAUAUUGUUUUUGUAAAGAAAUUAAAAGGUGUAUAUGAAAACACUUUUACU